rnacentral:misc_RNA from 1 species
AACGCAUAUUGCGCUCUCCAGGUAAUCCGGGGAGCAUGCCUGUUUGAGGAGUCUUGUCAACCUUCCUGGUAUCUUCUUUACGUAUUCUGUACGCAAAGAUGUGCCAGACGUCUUCAUGGAAAUGGACAAGAUGUCAUUGAGCUUUUUUUCGGUUUUACGGCCGGAUCGCUCUAAAUGCAUACACUCACUUAACUUCUAUCAUACACGCCUUUAUGGCGCGUGGGCCACUUGUGGAUUCCUUCGGGUUUCCGCAAGUGCCCUUACCCUCACCACAUCCAUGCUGGUUAAGAUAUAUUUUUCCUGGUAAAAAUGUUUUGACUAAGCGCGUGAUGGCGGCCGUAGGGCAAGGGUGUCCAGUCCACGUUGCAGUACUGAUAGUUUUUAUUCUCCUCAAAUCAAACAAGAGUACCCGCUGAACUUAA